rnacentral:lncRNA from 1 species
AUCCCUCUCAACCCUUUCUCUUUCAUCUCUUUCACUCCAACCUUUUAUUUGUCAUCCCUACUCUAGCUCCAAUUGAAAAAAAAUCAGAAACACUUGCCUUGUUUUAAUAAUUUUCAUUCUCAAAACUAAAAAAAGAAAACCCCAAACCCUUACUCACCUCCUUCAUUCCUCUCACCCCUUUCUCCUUCAUCUCUCUCACUCAAACAUUUUCUCUAUCAUCUCUGCACUAGCCCCAACUAAAAAAACACUCAUUAUUAAAGGAUUUACUUUUGUA